GGAGCAGCCAAGAUGGAGCCGGCAGUCGGAGGUCCGGGCCCACUGAUCGUGAACAACAAACAGCCCCAGCCCCCGCCACCUCCGCCGCCGGCAGCCGCACAGCCACCACCCGGGGCACCGCGGGCCGCCGCGGGCCUCCUGCCUGGGGGCAAAGCCCGCGAGUUCAACCGCAACCAGCGCAAAGACUCAGAGGGCUAUUCGGAGUCACCAGACCUGGAGUUUGAGUAUGCUGACACGGACAAGUGGGCUGCAGAGCUCUCGGGUAACGCACAGACCUUUGUGUUAUUUGGGGGUGGUUUUUUCCUUAUUGGUCUUUAAUAAAAUUAAUAAUGAAUAUCAUUUAGGGCUUCAUUGCUUUCCCUAGUUAGUUCUAUCAAAUAUAUAUAUAUAUAUAUAUAUGUAUAAAACAUGUUAUUUGAUUCAAGCCUUGUGUAUCUUAUAACUUUGUGUUGUCCUUUACUUUUAUGAAGCUGGCUAGAGCCCAGUCCCAUUGUGAGACAGUGAUGUUCCUUGGCUAUCCACUGUGACCC
rnacentral:sRNA from 1 species